rnacentral:rRNA from 1 species
GAAAGCCCAGGCGGCGGGGGAUGGGGUCGCGGCCCAUUAGGUAGUAGGCGGGGUAGAGGCCCACCUAGCCGACGAUGGGUAGCCGGACUGAGAGGUCGACCGGCCACAUUGGGACUGAGAUACGGCCCAGACUCCUACGGGAGGCAGCAGUGGGGAAUUUUGCGCAAUGGGGGAAACCCUGACGCAGCAACGCCGCGUGCGGGACGAAGGCCCUCGGGCUGUAAACCGCUUUCAGCAGGGAAGACAUCGACGGUACCUGCAGAAGAAGCUCCGGCUAACUACGUGCCAGCAGCCGCGGUAAUACGUAGGGGGCGAGCGUUAUCCGGAUUCAUUGGGCGUAAAGCGCGCGUAGGCGGCCGCCUAAGCGGAACCUCUAACCCCGGGGCUCAACCUCGGGCCGGGUUCCGGACUGGGCGGCUCGAGUGCGGUAGAGGAGAGCGGAAUUCCCGGUGUAGCGGUGGAAUGCGCAGAUAUCGGGAAGAACACCGAUGGCGAAGGCAGCUCUCUGGGCCGUCACUGACGCUGAGGCGCGAAAGCUGGGGGAGCGAACAGGAUUAGAUACCCUGGUAGUCCCAGCCGUAAACGA